rnacentral:rRNA from 1 species
GACGAACGCUGGCGGCGUGCUUAACACAUGCAAGUCGAACGGAAAGGCCCUGCUUUUGUGGGGUGCUCGAGUGGCGAACGGGUGAGUAACACGUGAGUAACCUUCCCUUGACUGUGGGAUAACUUCAGGAAACUGGGGCUAAUACCGGAUAGGAGUUCCUGCUGCAUGGUGGGGGUUGGAAAGGUUCGGUGGUUGGGGAUGGACUCGCGGCUUAUCAGCUUGUGGGUGGGGUAGUGGCUUACCAAGGCUUUGACGGGUAGCCGGCCUGAGAGGGUGACCGGCCACAUGGGGACUGGGAAAGGGCCCGGCCUCCUACGGGAGGAAGAAGUGGGGAAUAUUGCACAAUGGGCGGAGGCCGGAGCAAGCAAGGCGGGGGGCGGGAUAACGGCCUUGGGGUUGUAAACGGCUUUCGCAUGUGACGAGCCGUGAGUGACGGUAAUGGGUAAAGAAGCACCGGCUAACUACGUG